GGGGUAAAAAUUAAUAUAAUAUAAUUAAUAAAAAAAUUUUUAAAUGUAAAAAUAUUAAUAUUUUUAAUUGGGGGGUUAAAGUAUAUUAAUAGAAAUAAAUUUAAAAAGAUUUAUAGGAAAAUAGUAUUGUGAAAGAAUUUUGAAAUAAAUGAAAAUAAAAUUAAUUAAAAGUAAUUUUUAUUUGGUGUAUCUUGUGUAUCAGAGUUUAUUAAAUAAUAUUUUUUAUUAAAAAUUCUCGAAUUUAAGAGAGAUAAUUAAUUAUAAAAGUUAUUGUGAUAUAAAUAUUUUAAAUAAUUAAUUUGAAAUGAAAUGUUAAUCGUUCUUAAAUAUAUCUAGUUUUUUUAGAAAAAAAUUUAAUUUUAAAUUAAUUUUUCAAUUAACUAAUUAAUUAGUUAAUUGAAAAAUAUUAAUUUUAUAAUUUAAGGGAUAAGCUUUAAAUUAGAUUUAAUAUAAUUAAAAUUUAAAUUUUGAAAAUUAUAUAAUUUAUAUUGUUAAUAAAUUAUAAUUUAUUAUAAAUAAUUUCAAUUUAAAUAAAAUUUAAUUUAAAAUUUAUUAUAUUUAUAAAAAUAAAUGAUUUUUAAAAAAAAAAAAUUAGUUAUAAUGAUAAAAUUAGUAUAUAAAUAUUUAAUAAAUAAUAAUAAUUAUAAUGAUAAUUAUUUAAAAGGAAUUCGGCAAAAAUUUAUAUUCACUUGUUUAUCAAAAACAUGUCUUUUUGUAAUUAAUUUAAAGUCUAAUCUGCCCACUGAUAAAAUAUUAAAGGGCUGCAGUAUAUUGACUGUACAAAGGUAGCAUAAUCAUUAGUCAUUUAAUUGAUGACUUGUAUGAAAGAUUGGAUGAAAUAUAAACUGUCUCUAAAAUAAAUUAUAAAAUUUAAUUUUUUAAUUAAAAAGUUAAAAUGAUUUAAAAAGACGAGAAGACCCUAUAGAGUUUUAUAAAUAUAUAAAUUAAAUUUAUUUAUAUAAUUUUAUUUUUUUUUUUAAAAUUUAAUUUAUAAUUUUAUUUUAUUGGGGUGAUAAAAAAAUAAAAUAAACUUUUUUUUUAUUUUAACAUAGAUAAGUGAUAAUAUGAUCCAAUUUUAUUGAUUAUAAGAAAAAAUUACCUUAGGGAUAACAGCGUAAUUUUUUUUUUUAGUUCAAAUAAGAAAAAAAGUUUGCGACCUCGAUGUUGGAUUAAGAUAAAAUUUAAAUGCAGAAGUUUAAAAUUUUUGAUCUGUUCGAUCAUUAAAAUCUUACAUGAUCUGAGUUCAAACCGGUGUAAGCCAGGUUGGUUUCUAUCUUUUAAAAAAUAAAAUAUUUUAGUACGAAAGGAUUAAAUAUUUAAAUUAAAUUUAUUAAUAAAUUUGAAUUUUAUUAAAUAUUAUAUAUAUAUAUAUAUAUAUAUUAAAUUUAUAAAUAAAAUAAGUAAAAUAUUUUU
rnacentral:rRNA from 1 species